GGUCAAGUGAAGAAGCGCAUACGGUGGAUGCCUUGGCAGUCAGAGGCGAUGAAAGACGUGGUAGCCUGCGAAAAGCUUCGGGGAGUCGGCAAACAGACUGUGAUCCGGAGAUGUCUGAAUGGGGGAACCCAGCCAUCAUAAGAUGGUUAUCUUACACUGAAUACAUAGGUGUAAGAGGCGAACCAGGGGAACUGAAACAUCUAAGUACCCUGAGGAAAAGAAAUCAACCGAGAUUCCCUUAGUAGUGGCGAGCGAACGGGGACCAGCCCUUAAGUUGUAUUGAGAUUAGCGGAACGCUCUGGAAAGUGCGGCCAUAGUGGGUGAUAGCCCUGUACGCGAAAAUCCCUUUGCAAUGAAAUCGAGUAGGACGGGGCACGAGAAACCUUGUCUGAAUAUGGGGGGACCAUCCUCCAAGGCUAAAUACUACUGACUGACCGAUAGUGAACCAGUACCGUGAGGGAAAGGCGAAAAGAACCGCGGAGAGCGGAGUGAAAUAGAUCCUGAAACCGUAUGCGUACAAGCAGUGGGAGCCCACUUUGUUGGGUGACUGCGUACCUUUUGUAUAAUGGGUCAGCGACUUAUUUUCAGUGGCGAGCUUAACCGAAUAGGGGAGGCGUAGCGAAAGCGAGUCUUAAUAGGGCGUCUAGUCGCUGGGAAUAGACCCGAAACCGGGCGAUCUAUCCAUGGGCAGGUUGAAGGUUGGGUAACACUAACUGGAGGACCGAACCGACUACCGUUGAAAAGUUAGCGGAUGACCUGUGGAUCGGAGUGAAAGGCUAAUCAAGCUCGGAGAUAGCUGGUUCUCCUCGAAAGCUAUUUAGGUAGCGCCUCAUGUAUCACUGUAGGGGGUAGAGCACUGUUUCGGCUAGGGGGUCAUCCCGACUUACCAAACCGAUGCAAACUCCGAAUACCUACAAGUGCCGAGCAUGGGAGACACACGGCGGGUGCUAACGUCCGUCGUGAAAAGGGAAACAACCCAGACCGUCAGCUAAGGUCCCAAAGUCAUGGUUAAGUGGGAAACGAUGUGGGAAGGCUUAGACAGCUAGGAGGUUGGCUUAGAAGCAGCCACCCUUUAAAGAAAGCGUAAUAGCUCACUAGUCGAGUCGGCCUGCGCGGAAGAUGUAACGGGGCUCAAACCAUGCACCGAAGCUACGGGUAUCACCUUUGGUGAUGCGGUAGAGGAGCGUUCUGUAAGCCUGUGAAGGUGAGUUGAGAAGCUUGCUGGAGGUAUCAGAAGUGCGAAUGCUGACAUGAGUAACGACAAUGGGUGUGAAAAACACCCACGCCGAAAGACCAAGGUUUCCUGCGCAACGUUAAUCGACGCAGGGUUAGUCGGUCCCUAAGGCGAGGCUGAAAAGCGUAGUCGAUGGAAAACAGGUUAAUAUUCCUGUACUUCUGGUUAUUGCGAUGGAGGGACGGAGAAGGCUAGGCCAGCCUGGCGUUGGUAGUCCAGGUUUAAGGUGGUAGGCUGAGAUCUUAGGUAAAUCCGGGAUCUUAAGGCCGAGAGCUGAUGACGAGUGUUCUUUUAGAACAUGAAGUGGUUGAUGCCAUGCUUCCAAGAAAAGCUUCUAAGCUUCAGGUAACCAGGAACCGUACCCCAAACCGACACAGGUGGUUGGGUAGAGAAUACCAAGGCGCUUGAGAGAACUCGGGUGAAGGAACUAGGCAAAAUGGCACCGUAACUUCGGGAGAAGGUGCGCCGGUGAGGGUGAAGCAUUUACUGCGUAAGCCCACGCCGGUCGAAGAUACCAGGCCGCUGCGACUGUUUAUUAAAAACACAGCACUCUGCAAACACGAAAGUGGACGUAUAGGGUGUGACGCCUGCCCGGUGCCGGAAGGUUAAUUGAUGGGGUUAGCGCAAGCGAAGCUCUUGAUCGAAGCCCCGGUAAACGGCGGCCGUAACUAUAACGGUCCUAAGGUAGCGAAAUUCCUUGUCGGGUAAGUUCCGACCUGCACGAAUGGCGUAACGAUGGCGGCGCUGUCUCCACCCGAGACUCAGUGAAAUUGAAAUCGCUGUGAAGAUGCAGUGUAUCCGCGGCUAGACGGAAAGACCCCGUGAACCUUUACUAUAGCUUUGCACUGGACUUUGAAUUUGCUUGUGUAGGAUAGGUGGGAGGCUUUGAAGCGUGGACGCCAGUCUGCGUGGAGCCAACCUUGAAAUACCACCCUGGCAACUUUGAGGUUCUAACUCAGGUCCGUUAUCCGGAUCGAGGACAGUGUAUGGUGGGUAGUUUGACUGGGGCGGUCUCCUCCUAAAGAGUAACGGAGGAGUACGAAGGUGCGCUCAGACCGGUCGGAAAUCGGUCGUAGAGUAUAAAGGCAAAAGCGCGCUUGACUGCGAGACAGACACGUCGAGCAGGUACGAAAGUAGGUCUUAGUGAUCCGGUGGUUCUGUAUGGAAGGGCCAUCGCUCAACGGAUAAAAGGUACUCCGGGGAUAACAGGCUGAUACCGCCCAAGAGUUCAUAUCGACGGCGGUGUUUGGCACCUCGAUGUCGGCUCAUCACAUCCUGGGGCUGAAGCCGGUCCCAAGGGUAUGGCUGUUCGCCAUUUAAAGUGGUACGCGAGCUGGGUUUAGAACGUCGUGAGACAGUUCGGUCCCUAUCUGCCGUGGACGUUUGAGAUUUGAGAGGGGCUGCUCCUAGUACGAGAGGACCGGAGUGGACGAACCUCUGGUGUUCCGGUUGUCACGCCAGUGGCAUUGCCGGGUAGCUAUGUUCGGAAAAGAUAACCGCUGAAAGCAUCUAAGCGGGAAACUUGCCUCAAGAUGAGAUCUCACUGGAACCUUGAGUUCCCUGAAGGGCCGUCGAAGACUACGACGUUGAUAGGUUGGGUGUGUAAGCGCUGUGAGGCGUUGAGCUAACCAAUACUAAUUGCCCGUGAGGCUUGACCAUAUAACACCC
rnacentral:rRNA from 1 species